UACGUAGGAGGCAAGCGUUGUCCGGAAUUACUGGGCGUAAAGCGCACGUAGGCGGAUUGCUAAGUCAGGGGUGAAAUCCUGGAGCUCAACUCCAGAACUGCCUUUGAUACUGGCGACCUUGAGUCCGGGAGAGGUGAGUGGAACUGCGAGUGUAGAGGUGAAAUUCGUAGAUAUUCGCAAGAACACCAGUGGCGAAGGCGGCUCACUGGCCCGGUACGUGACGCGUGAGGUGCGAA
rnacentral:rRNA from 1 species